rnacentral:rRNA from 1 species
GAAAGCUUGCUUUUGAAAGUCGAGUGGCAAACGGGUGAGUAACGCGUAGACAACCUGCCGUAAAGAUGGGGACAACAGUCCGAAAGGACUGCUAAUACCGAAUGUUGUGGAACUUCCGCAUGGGGGCUCCACUAAAGAUGGCCUCUACUUGUAAGCUAUCGCUUUACGAUGGGUCUGCGUCUGAUUAGCUAGUUGGUGGGGUAACGGCUUACCAAGGCGACGAUCAGUAGCCGGUCUGAGAGGAUGAACGGCCACAUUGGAACUGAGACACGGUCCAGACUCCUACGGGAGGCAGCAGUGGGGAAUCUUCCGCAAUGGGCGCAAGCCUGACGGAGCAACGCCGCGUGAGUGAAGAAGGGUUUCGACUCGUAAAGCUCUGUUGUCGGGGACGAAUGUGGAGGUUGUGAAUAACAGCUUCCAAUGACGGUACCUGACGAGGAAGCCACGGCUAACUACGUGCCAGCAGCCGCGGUAAUACGUAGGUGGCGAGCGUUGUCCGGAAUUAUUGGGCGUAAAGGGAGCGCAGGCGGGAGAUCAAGUCUAUCUUAAAAGUGCGGGGCUCAACCCCGUGAGGGGAUGGAAACUGGUCUUCUUGAGUGCAGGAGAGGAAAGCGGAAUUCCUAGUGUGGCGGUGAAAUGCGUAGAUAUUAGGAGGAACACCAGUGGCGAAGGCGGCUUUCUGGACUGUAACUGACGCUGAGGCUC